UUUUUUUUUAGGGCCGCACCAUGGCAUAUGGAAGUUCCCUGGCUAGGGGUCGAAUCGGAGCUACAGCUGCUGGCCUACACCACAGCCAUAGCAACGCCAGAUCCAAGCCACAUCUGUGACCUACAUCCCAGCUCACGGCAAUGCCGGAUCCUUCAACCGACUGAGCGAGGCCAGGGAUCGAACCCAAGUCCUUGUGGAUACUAGUCAGGUUCAUUACCGCUAAGCCAUGACAGGAACUCCCACCACCAAUGUUCUUGAAUGCUGGACAGAGAGCUUGCUGCUGCUUCCUGCUAAUUUCCCCUCUUGGAUAAAACGAAGCUGUCUUUCUGUGAGAGGAAAAGGGCUUCUAGAUCUUCCCUGUUUGUUAAUAAAGAGAAGUAACCAGACGCAUCUUUCUUUUCCUUCUGCAGAAAUUGACCAUGCAGAGAUGUUCUGAGAAACCAGUCAAACUUGGGCCUCAUAAUCUGAUUUUAAAGCAAUGUUCAGGAGCAAGUAGGCGCCUCCUUGAACUCCACAAUCUUGGAAAAUCUUCAGAGAUGAAAAGGCCUGUGAAAAACUUAAUUGUUAUGUCCUGGACCAAACAGGGGAAGAGCUAGAAAAGGCCAAGUUCAAAUUUUACCAAGAUUAUGGGCAUUGUCCUUAACUUCAGAGUCUCGGCUUCUUGAUCUGUAAAUGACACCAAACCUCAGGUGAUAUGCUUAUGUUUUUCAAACUUUUUAAAGCACAACAUAAUAAAAAUACUUUAUUUUCGGGAUGUGGUGCACAAGUAAGCACGUGUGUGCACACAUGGAUACACUCGCAAACACCCAUCUCUUACACAUCUAUCUGAAAUAAAGUUCUGAAAUAAUACACGUUCUUAUUGAGAUACACUCUGACAUCUACUUGAUUCUCCUUUUUUAAAAAAUGCUGGUUGUCACCCACUAAUGGGUUAAGAAAGGCUUUUUUAAAAAACACUGUGAUAUGGAUUCUUAUACCAUUGUCAUUAUAAAUGUCUUUACCGCCACCCUUACUAGAAUUUAAAUAUUAUGAGGACAAAGACCUUUUAUGUUUGUCUGUAUCUCUAGCACCUAGCACACAGUAGGAACCCAAGAGAUAUUUGUAAAAUCAAUAAAUUAGUGAAUUAAAUGAGCAGAAUGUGGACUUUUGAACUGGAGUUCAACCCCACAAGCCACAUACAUGCCUCCUCCCUCUACCAUGUCCCAGGUUAUGAGAGAGUCUCAGAAAGGCAAGUCCCUAUUCUCUGAAGGCAUCAGCUGUACAUCAUGCCCUGCCUCGCAGUAUCUAUUCCUUUCUUCUUCUACAAGUAACAAUUCCCCAGCUCCCCUUGGCAUUGUUCUGGGUCAACCAGCUGCUCAUUUCCUCUUAACAAAAGGAGAUUAUGUGAAAUCAAAACACAUCUCCCUGGAAGUUCCCCUUGUGGCUCAGUGGUAAUGAACCUGACUAGUAUCCUUGAGGAUGCAGGUUCAAUCCCUGGCCUCGCUCAGUGGGUUAAGGAUCUGGGGCUGCCAUGAGCUGCGGUGUAGGUCGCAGACACAGCUCGGAUCUGGUAUUGCUGUGGCUGUGGUAUAGCUGGCAGCUGCAACUCCAAUUAGACCCCUAGCCUGGGAACUUCCACAUGCCAUAGGUGCAGCCUAAACACACACACACACACAAACACACCCCUCUCCCUGAUGCCUACACACACACACACACACACACACACACACCCCUCUCCCUGAUGUUACUUCCUUCGAGCCCGUCCAGGGUUGGAAGCCCUCCAGUCAAGGUCAGAAGCCCCUCAUAUCCUAAAGGAAAAACAACAGUAAACCCAAGCGGAAAAAGGCAAAAGGCAAAGGGGCAAAGCAAACCCAAAGCCUCUGAACUGAUGUGCUCCAGCAUAGCUGAAGACAGCUUCAUCUAUCCCCUCUUCUCCUCUUCAAAGAGAGGGCUGGACCUUGCGAAAGAGGGGCUGGGCUCUCCUCUGGACAUCAUGCCAGGAUUUUAGACUUUCCCAGCUGGCAGCUGAGUACUGAUUUCCCACUGGGACUUCAUCUAACAGAGUCUCUCCAAAACCAAUGUUUAAAGGACACAUAAUCUUUUCUGUAGUCUCUUGAUCAAGGUGACACAGAAAUUUUGCUGGAAUCCAGGCUCUCCUUGUUUCUAAUCUCGAGUGGCUGGCACUUGAUGUCAUUUUGGGGAGCUCAAUGCUUACUCACACUGGAAAACAUGCUCAAAUGUAUGGGGGUGGUAGCUAAAGGUAGGAGGGGGCUGUCAUAGCAGCAUAAUGAAAGCAAGCCACUUGAUAAAACAGGAGAUGAAUGCAUAAAUCCAGGCAGAGAAUCUGAAGUAGAAAUGCAUUACCAACUAAAGAAAUCAUUUCAAAUGACUUAUACUACAAAUUGGCUUUAAGAGACACCUCAGUCUGCACAUGUAUUCCCUGCUGAAUGGUGAUACCUAUUCAAAUGAUCAAAAACAGUCCGUUUUUAAAUUCAGGAUAAAUCCCAGACCUCAGAAAGAGGCAAAGGGAAAAAAAAAAAAGUUCAAAAGCAGAAAGUCAGUCAAUGUUACUCUCAGGACCAAUCUCUCUGAUAUGCCUCAAGCAUGCUAACAGCAUUUUUAUGCCACAGGCAUGCUACUUUCCUUUGCCCUCAUUUUAUUUCACAGGAAGCCCUUCCCUAAUAGCCAUGGAAAAUCCAAAAGGAGAAAAGAAGGGGAGGGCAAAGCAUUCUGCUAUCUCCCCUGCUUGGAAAAGACUCAAGAGCCUGGAAGGAUGCCGCAAAAAUCAGUGUGAGCACAACAAACAGCAGCAGCCAAGAAAACUGAAUCCCAAUGAGAAAUCUGCCAGCUGGGAGCCACUCUGUAAUUGGAGAGGAAGCAUCUACUUAAAUGGCCAGUGUCCAGCUCAGUACAAACCCUGUAGUUACAAGGACCCCUCCUAAAAUCAUGUAUCUGAUCCCUCCUGAACUGACUUCUACCAGUCCCAGUUUAAAAUCCUUCCUCCCUCUAAAGCGAAUGUUCUAAACUCCAAAGAAUGGCAUGUAUCUCACACAGGUCCUCAAUGAG
rnacentral:lncRNA from 1 species